GAAGGUUGAGGCGCCAAAAGGAGUGACGGUGGUUGUGAAGCCCGGUAAGCUAGUGUUUUCGGAGAAGGUGAGGAAAUUGAGUUACUUUGUGACAGUGAAAGCGGUACGCAAGAGUAUACCGUUGGGUGAAUCGGGUGCAGUGUUUGGGUCAUUGUGGUGGAUGGAUGGAAAGCAUGUGGUGCGGAGCCCCAUUGUAGUUACUCAAGUAGAUCCAUUGUAAGUUAAUGUGGGAUUGAAUCAGGAUCCGACUUGUUGGUGAUGGAUAUUGGAUGGGGAUAUAUAGAGAUAGUUUGAUGGUAAAAUUAGACUUUGUUUGUUUGUUUGGUUGGUUGGUUGGUUGUUUGUUUGUUUGAAGUUUGUCUUUUUAAGGAUAGGAGUAGUUGUUUUGAUCCCAUCUUUCUUUUAUUUGUUAAUGUUUGAGAAUGUAUAAUACACUGCUUAUUAGUUGAAUGUUCAUCUCCUCUCCUUGCGCCCAGCCCAGCCCAGCCCAGCCCAGCCCAAGAGUUUUAUUUGACUUUUUGUGUAUCUGUGCUUGUGGUGGUUCAAUUUUUAUACACUAAACUUUACUGAGAUUUUGGAAGUUGGAAUGAGAAAGUAUGCUAAUAAGGUGAAG
rnacentral:lncRNA from 1 species